rnacentral:lncRNA from 1 species
GGUAUGGGGGACUUUUGGGAUAGCAUUGGAAAUGUAAUUGAGGAAAAUACGUAAUAAAAAAUAUUUAAAUAAAAAAGAAAAAAUGUUGAUUCCUCAGGUAGUUGGAAUAAAAUGUUUACAAACUAAAAAAAAAAAAAAAAAAUCUGCUCCUAAAGUUAUGUUUUUUAAAGCUAUCAUAUGUGGCCGAUUAUGCUGAAAGAUACAAGAUAAUCAGAACAACUUUUCAAUAAGCUCAUAAUUUAGUUUAUCUAGAGAUAAGCUGCUUUGUAAGAGACCCAGAGAGUUGUUUCUAAAACGUCCUGGGAGCAGGAAUAGAAGGGGAAGUGGGUGCUCUCUGCAGAUCUAGAAUAGCGUUGUUCAUGUCUGAUUAUCUAUUGGAACUUUAUUUUUAAGAACUCUAGGUGAUUCUAUAUGCUUUAGGCCAGAUUCCACUUGCCCCACGUUGUAAUUGUUUUAUUCUAAUUUUCAUGGAUUUUAUUUUCCCUCUUAAAACAUUCUUGUAUAUUCCCACAGUAUCUAAGACACAUAGUUAUACCUUUAAGGAACCAACUUAGACAGAAAAGAGCCAGACACAUUCUACUUUCUUCCCAUGGUGAUCUGGAAUACAUUUAAGUAGUAAGAGCACAUUUUAUGUAUUUUCUUUAGAGAUUUUUCUUUGAAGUGUGAACAGUUUUGUCCUGAAGUGUUUAGCAGCUAAGAGUCUAUUCUGACACUUUGCAGAUUCCUGCCACUUUCCUACUGUGUCGCAGGGCCUCAGAGAGCCACUGACCACCAGUGCCUGGUGAGGUUAGAUAGGAGUAAACACUGUGUAGAUCACAGAGAAGGAGCUGAGGGCAAAUACUUUGUGCACUGCAUUGAUAAGGACACAGGAAGAGCAUUUCUCCUGAUAACCUUCCUGCAACGUAGACUAACGGGCUCUGGUUUGUUCUAAUUGUCAUAAUGCUCGUUUAACCCCGUGACCUUAUUACCCAUGGGCAUAUAUAUCACUUGUCUCUGAAUAAAAC